GCACCCGUAGCUCAGCUGGAUAGAGUGCCGCCCUCCGAAGGCGGAAGUCACGCGUUCGAAUCGCGUCGGGUGUACCA
rnacentral:tRNA from 1 species